GGGAAGGGACAGACUAGACUGUUUUAAUAUAAUUGUUUCGUCGUCAUCUUUGGGCACAUACCCAUUAUCAUCAGGAAUGUGUUUUUUCUGCAGAGUCCCGAGAUGCCCUAGGGGGUUGGAGGAAUGAUUGAGCUGCACCACCCUUGAGCUGCCCCCUGUGGUCCCACGGCAGUCCCACUCCCGCCCACCUGCUCCCUCUGCACCUGGAGUGGAACGACAGGCUUCUUCACACACACUCUGUUCCCACCUGAAGUGGGCGGGGGGAGGCUCUGGAGAUUUCCUAGAAGAGCAAGAAAGAAGCCGCAGCACAGCAGGGUGGUGAUGUGAGCUGCAAGAGUCUCUAGAGCCCGUGUUAGCGUGGUAGCUCCCUGUUGAAGAGUGCGAGCCAUUAGCAGGCCUCUCACCCAGCCCACACAGGGGAUUAUGGGAAUAAAGGAAUGGGACUGCCUGACCUUGGCCUCACAGAGGCACUCCAGCAUCAAUUCAUCACAGUGGCAGGCAAGAUAUUCAUAUGAAGGCUUAAAACAGGCUCUGCACAGGACAGAUAGGAGAAGGAAUUAAUAGCCAUUUCACGCUAGCACCUCAGCGACCGAGCUGGGCAGUGGGAGAAGGAAGCAGUUUGGGUGCAACCAGGGCACCGACGGCCCCCAAGACUCUUUGUAAUUGUCCUGCUCUGAAGAGCAGGUGUCAGAGCUGCAGGAAGGUGAAGGAUUG